ensembl:snoRNA
UGUCCCUGGCCUGAAUAGAGUGGUGUCUGUUUGGUGGCAUUCUUCUCUUAUCAGUGAGGGACAAAGCAACCCCUGUUAUUCUAGGUUGGCUUUUGGUCAGUGCCCAUGGCUGGUUCAUGCCUUGGACAGAUGG